rnacentral:rRNA from 1 species
GAUUCCUGUAGUAAUGGCGAAUGAACAUGGAACUGCUCAACUUGACAGUCUGGACUCUUAGUUUUGACUUGCUGGUUCCAAUGGCACUGCUAAUGGAAGUGUGCAUGUAAGGCUUUUGGAAAAAGGUUGCAACGAAGGUGAAACUCCUGUGUGACAUGUGCAAUAUUUCAUACAAGGCAUGCUUUGAUGAGUCGCGUUCCUUUGCAGUGGAGCGCUAAAUGGGUGGUAAACUUCAUCCAAAGUUAAAUAUUUGUUUGAGACCGAUAGUUAACAAGUACCAUGAGGGAAUUGUGAAAAGUACUUUGGAAAGAAAGUUAGAAGUACCUAAAAUUGCUGAAGUCAAAGCAAAUGAGAUGUGCGAGGUGAAGCAAGAUUGCGGUGUGCAGCUCUCAGCCAGCCGGUGCGUAUGUCCAAGCACCCUUCGCAGUUGUUCGUGCACCGUGUCACUUGCUUUGUAUGUUGAGACUAAGUUGCAGUGCCAAUGUUCUGAGCAUGAGGUAGCAACCAUAGGUUGGGGCGAUCAUGCUUAAAUCCAGCAUCCGGUUUGGUAGCUUUGCUAGGUAUUGUACCCAGUGGAAAGCUUGUGCUUUAGGGUGCACCUGGCAUGGUUGUUGGCUUGAUGUUUCAUUUGACCCGUCUUGAAACACGGACCAAGGAGUCUAAUGCAAGUGCAAGUCUGGGGUGAACAAUCUGGGGCAUAAUGAAAAUGGCAGUUGGCAUGCAUGCACCAACAACCAACCAGUCCAUUGUGAGAGGUUUGAGUU